UUUUUUUUUUAUUCAUUACAUAUUCCUCUUACAUUAGAUUUUAAACACUUCUAAAAGCAUAAGAUACUUUAUUGUUUUUAAAUCGCUUUUAGUUCUGAGGCCAAUAUCUUCCACAUAAUCAUGGAUCAAUAAAUGUUACUUUCAGAGCUUCCCAAACUUUUUACUGGGAUGGCGUAAAUAAAAAUUGGAACUUCUAUUGUGGGUUAAGGUGAAAGAGGCUCACCUGCCCAGAGUCUAGGGGCACCACAUACGAUGUUAUCUGAAGACUGAGAGAAUCAAUCAAUGACUACACAAGCAUUUCAAAGCAUGUACUCUGUUGUAUUACUAAAUAAAAUUCGCAUAGUGGAUUAAAUUCAUUUGUGUGAUGCUUAACAUGGUAUCACAUAUAAAAUACCACAUUUACUACAGGACAUACAUUGUUAGCAAAUGUCUGUGGUUUCUGGAUAAGGCAAUCAGACCUUUCAACAUCUUAUAAAUAUUAAGAAAACUUCUGUUCACAAGUGUCUAAAGUGAUCCCUGCAUAUCAGCAUAUCAGGUUGAUAAUACUAUGUAGCAUACAAUUAUUCAAGACAUUAAUUCAGAAUUUAUGCUGAGUAUGAACCAUUAUUUCUUAACUGUUCCAUAAAUAAUCAGCAACAUUACCCUGUUUAUUAGCAAUGGCUCCAUGAACAGGCCCCUUAGUACACAGAAAUGUCAGAGGUCCUAUUGAAAUCAAUUACAAAUAGGUUAUAUAUUAUUUUUUCUAUUGCUUCUAAAUGUCAUGAUGAUUUUUCCUGUUUUGAAGUGUGCUUUUAUUGCAUUCUGGAUUGUUUUAUUACUCUAAAAAUCCAUUUUAGUCAUUUUUAAGUCCAAAAGUAUAUUUUACUGAGUGACCACAUUGAUUCUUUUGAUCUCUACUGAAUAAAUAAUGGUCAUUUUUAAUGACCUAUUAUUUUCCAGGAGAUCAUGAAAGUUUAAAAAUAACUCUCUUGCUGAAUUCAUAUCAAUUACGAUAAUGCAAUAUAGAAUUAUGACUAAAUAUUUUAAAAUUCCAUAAUGAGAUAAGAGAGUAAUUUCAUUCUAGGAAACAGGAUCAAAGAGGGCAUGAUUGUCUUUUAAUAAUUAGUCAUGAAUCCAGACAUAUGGACUUAUUGAUUUUAACUGUAUGUUCAAAAUCAUGUGAAAAAGAAAUUCAAUUAAUUUUUUAAGGUGAACCUUUUACCUAAAUACCAGUUUAGUAUAUUAUACACAGAUUAAAUACAGGUAUUUCUUUUGGUGCCAGUGGUCUCUGAACACAAAUAAACUUAUGAGGCCCUAUUCUCAUAUCACCUUCUCCACAAAGCCUCCCCUGAGCCUCCAACCCAGAAACUGACCUCACCCUCUUCUUGACUCCAGAAACACAUAGCAUCUGGACUGCUCAAAUAGCAACUAUCAUAUGUGUCCUUAUAAAGUAAUUCAAAAAAAGAUAGUGUUCAUGACCACACAGAAGGAAAAUCAAAAUACCUUAAAUUCUUCAAUAAAGAUUAUGGUCAUAUUGAGGGGCCUAUUUAAUCAUUUAUAUUUUAAAAAUUUGUUCCAUAGGGAACCAGAAAGUUGGAUGUUGUUAGAACUAAUGGGAAUAGCAAAGUGUUUGGGCCAUAAUGAUGUUAAAUCUCUCAUUUUAAGGCUUCAGUUCAUGAAUAUUUUAUUUAUUAAUAUAUACACCAAAGAAGUAAUCUACAUAUUUAUGUGUGAAUUCAUAGUAAUGUGGCUUUUUUUUGGGGGGGUGGCAGAGUAGACUUGUCAACAUUAAAGUGCCCAUACUAAACAAUAAAGUCAUUUGUAAUCAAAAGUGAAUUCUCCAAAACAAUAAAUACAUUGGCAAUUCUUGACAGCAUGUUUAGAACCCUUUAGUAAACACAUCAGUGCCACGUGGUUACUUAUUUUCAUUUUUCCUCCUCUCUCUUCUUCAUAACAAUGAUUUAAAUUUUCAUUGCAACUAAUGUACAAUGGGCUGGAUAAUCAUAGUGCACAAAUUACAAAAUGCAUGUUAAAGAUUGAGCACAGGGGCUAGUUCCCUCUAAAUGAUCAAUAAAAGGUUGCUAUAAAACAAGUCUUACAUUGUUGCACACGUCAGAAAUAUAUUUAGAACUGCCUAGUAGGACAAAAAUAAAUUAUCCAAAGAAUAUUAGUUUAUUUUAUGAAAUCUAAAGAAUAGCUGAACAACCAAGCAAUGGGGAAAGCAAAGAAGCAUCCAGAUCUUAGGAAAAAUUGAGACCAAGAACUUAACACCAUUAGGCCUCUCAGCUCUUCCUCUCGCCUCACACCAGUUUCAUUCUUUCCAGAUGCAGAAGCCUUUCUCAAUACUGAUCAUAUUAACCAGCAAUCCCACACCUAUGCAUUUACUCAAGUGAAAUAAAAACUUAGUUCACACAAAAACCUCAUACACAAAUUAUAAUAGGUUUAUUCAUAAUUACCUAAAAUUAGAAACAACCCAAAUGUUUCUCAACUGAGGAAUGAAGAGUCUAACAGUGGUACAUUCACAUGCUAGAAUAUUACUCAGUAAUCAGCAGCAAAAGAACAAUUAAUGAUGAAUACAGCAUGUAUGCAUCUUAAAUGCAUUUCACUAAAUGAAAUAACUCAGACUCAAAAGGGUACACACUAUAUGAUUCCAUUUAUAUGACAUUCUUGUAAAUGCAAAACUACAGAGACAGAAAUUAUAUCAGCGGUUGCCAGAGAUUGGUGUGGGGAAAUUCUCAACUAUAGAGGAGAACAGAGAAAUCUAGGGGAUAGGAAUGCUAGAGCUGUUUCUGUAUCUUGGUUGUGAUGACAUUUACACCACAUUUACACCAUUUUUUACAUUUACUGAAUCUCUUAAAAUCCAAAGGACAGUACACUAAAAUGGAUGAAUUUUACUAUAUGUAAAUUACACCUUAGAAAGUCUUGAAAAAGAAAAGACAAAAAUGGCUGAGAAAGAAAGACUUGACAAAUAUUGAAGAGAUAAAAUACUGAAGAUAUUGUCUUGGAUACAGAUCAUAGGAGUACCUAGAAAGAAAAAGGAAAGCAAACAGAUAGAAUAAAUACUAAAAAACUAAUAUACAAGAAAACUUUCUUGAAUUCAAGAUUUAGAAAACUACAUAUUAAAGGAGGACACAUGUACCUGACAGACUUGGAACUACUAUCACUAAGGUAUACUCUCAAAAAAUCACUGAACUUUAAAGGGAAAAAAUAUCUUUGGGCAUUUUUUAAAAAACAUUUAUCUUUUAAGAAAAAUAAAAUUAGAUUAUCAUUGGACUUUGACAGCAAUACCUUAUGCCAGAAAAAAAAAUAGAAUAUAUUUGACAAUCUCAGUGACAGAACAGGUGUCUCAAGGACUUCAUAACCAGCAAAACUGAUUUUCAAAUAUAAAGGGCAUAAGACAAACGAUUAUCAACAUUCGAGCAUUCAGGAAUGCUGUCAUGAACACUUUCUAAGGAAUCAACUAGGGAAAGGAUUCUAGCAACCAAAUGACUACAGAAAUAUCAACAUAAGCACUGGUGACUGAAUAUUACAUUUAUAAUUACAUUUAGAAUAAAAAUUAAAUGAAUUAAGUUAAACGAAAAAGGAUAUAGUAUGUAAUUGUUAUAUGCUCAGACCUUAUAGUUCAACCACUAAAAAAUGAAAUGUGCAAGGAAUGUGAAUAGCAUAUACAAAAAUUACUUAUAACUGUGUUCUGUACUAAUACUGAUAAUGGUCAUAUUAGUAAUAUCACUUUAAGGCUGUUGUAUGUAUAGUUCAGGAUAAAGGAAAUAAGAAAUUAUGGCAUAAUUCUAACUAUUUUCUCCUAUAUCCUUGAGAAGAGGUUACAUAAAAACCCCACAGUACUUAAAUAUAUUGGAAAAUAUCAAUAUAAACUUACAUAUUAUUUUUGAAUAUGUAUAUAUUUAAAGAUAUAUUAAUUCUAUACACUUCUCACCUCUGCCUACAAACAUAAUUUUAUUAAAAUGCUAGAAACAAUGCUAGACCAACAUAAAUAGGCAUCCCUAAAACCCAGAUUUUAAACCUGAAAUCCAACUUUCCACUGAAUUUUCCAGAGUUUGAUUUCUUGGGAAAAAGGCUGAUUCUAAGACUGAGAUAGGAAAUACACAAGGCCAGAAAUUCUUGUCAAAUUAGAGAGCAGAGAAAGGAAGCAAUCAAAAACUACCAGAAUUCUGUCAAAACACUCAUGAGCCAAAGGGAAGAGAUUCCCACUGACCAAAAAUAAGACAAUUUAUGCUUCAGAAAAAUAAUAAUGCCCAGAAACUGGAAUAUAUCACAACACAUUUAAAUCUAUGAUUUCAAAAUGAUAAGGAAAGAAGCCAAGGGGUCUCUGCAAGAUGACUGGAAAUCAAUUCUGUAUCUUGGAAAUUGGUAAAUUUUAAGAAAUAAUUAAACAUCUAUACUGUCUUCCUUUUUAUACUUAUCACUCUCUUUUCCUUUAAUUUGAAAAAUUGAAUUAAUAAAGAAACUCUAGAGAGUGAUAAGUAUAAAAAUCAAGGUAGUGGUUUCUAUUGGGGCAAGUGGGAUUUGGAUAGGGUACAUGGAUGGAUUCUAGGAUGGCAGGCAAAAUUCUACUUCCUACUCAGGUACUGACUACAAUGGUGUUCACAUUACAUUCAUUCAUUAAGCUACAUGUAUUUUUUCCGGUUUAACAUAUUUGUUUUAUUUUAAAACUAAAGGUCAUAAUUCAUACAGAAACCUGACAAAUAGAUUCAUAAGUUUUUCCAGAAAGUAAAUAAAGAAGAAUAGCAAAGACCAGUUUGGAAAAAAGGAAUAAAAUUGGAUCACUUUCUCUCAGUUAUAAAUAUAAAGCUGUGGUAACUAAAACAGUAUGGUACUAGGAGGGAAACAAGAGAUGAGAACUCCGAUUUUUUAACUCAUACACACAGAUUUAACAAGAUAACUACCCAAUUCUUAUGGUAAUUAAAGAUACAUUUCAAAUUGGCUUAAGAUCUAAAAUUGAAAAAUUAAACUAUAAGGGAGUUAAAUAAAAUAUAGGUUAGGUGGGGAUAAGCAAAAGGGAAUACUUUUUAAGAUACUCAUAAUAUUCAGAAAACAGAAAAUAUUGGCAUUUGAAUAAAUGGGAAAAAAUCUCAAAGACGAAGUAUAUCAUAAUUUUUUAAAUGACAGACUAAGAUUGUGUAUUACUAGCUUAUAUAAUGGGCAAAAUAUUAUUAGCCCUUAUAUGCAAAGGUUUAUAUAUUUAAAAAGUAAUAAUUUAAUAUAAAAAAGUCAAAAGUCAUGAAGAGAUAAUAGAUAGGAAAAAAAAUAUAUAUAUAUACACACAUAUAUUUACUCCAUAUAGAAAAAAAUUCUCAACCUCAAUGCCAUUCAUAAUUUUUUAACCUACUGGAUUUGCAAAUAAUAAUAAUAAUAAUAAUAAUGUUUAAAUUAAAAAUAACCAAUGUUUGAGAAUACAAGUGUACAGGUACAGGUGCCAUCAGAGAAUCUUUUUUUCCUCCUGGAAAUUUUUUAUUUAUUUAUAAUUAUCAUUUCUAAUGCUAGCAGUAGACUUCAUUAAGCUGUGCCUUGGUACAGGCACUGGAGCUUGUCCAUGGUGCUCUUGAUGUACAAAUCCUGGACGUUCUGACAAUUCUUUUUUUUUUUUUUUCGUUCUGACAAUUCUUUUGCAAAGAUUCCAGAAAACUGACAGCUAAGUGGAUGUUGUACACAAGCUCAUCAUCCAUCAUCUACAUGUGGUCAACAGCCACUGCCAGACACAGCACCUUCUUCGUCUGGAAUCUGAUCAUGGACUUCACUUCAUCCAUGUUGGCCACCAUAUUUUCAUUGUAGGUCAGCAAGGAAGGGGAUCUGCCAGCCUCAUUCAGGCGUGGGCCCAGGAUUCCUGGGAUCUGCUUGGUCAGAGAUUCUGAGGCCAAAGAGGCAUCAUACUUCUUGGCCAAUUUCUGGACUAAUUUUUUAUUCAUGGGAGACUUUGCCGCUCAUGGUG
rnacentral:lncRNA from 1 species